GCGACCAGUGCUCUGGCUUUUGUUACUCGCCGACUUGAAGAGCUUCCUACUGGUUAUCAUGGUCGUGUUGCCGGCAGGAGCAAUGUGGAUUUUUUUUUCUCUCACAUGAUUUUAUUUAAUGUAGGAUAGCAGCCUACACAAUAAAUAACUCAUUAAUAACCAUCUAGAUGUCACAUUGAUACAUGGGAAAUAGCUACCUAGUAGCCAAUAUCAGGGUGACAGUCCAGGACAAUGACACAACACACCUCCAGGCUGUGUAAGGGCUGUUUGGCCAAGAAGAGAAAUGAAGGCUAUUCCAUGUGAGAAAUUGCCAAGAAACUGAAGAUCCCGUACAGCGCUGUGUACUACUCCCUUCACAGAACAGCGCAACUGGCUCUAACCAGAAUAGAAAGAGGAGUGGGAGGCCCCGGUGCACAACUCAGCAAGAGGACAUGUACAUUAGAAUGUCUAGUUUGAGAAGCAGACUCCUCACAAGUCCUCAACUAGCAGCUUCAUUAAAUAGUACCCGCAAAACACCAGUCUCAACGUCAAGAGUGAAGAGGCGACUCUGGGAUGCUGGCCUUCUAGGCAGAGUUGCAAAGAAAAAGCCAUAUCUCAGACUGGCCAAUAAAAAAGAUUAAGAUGGACAUAGGAACUCAGCAUCCCGGAGUGGCCUCUUCACUGUAGACGUUGAGACUGGUGUUUUGCGGGUAUUGUUUGUUUUUAGUCCUGUCCUUCCUCUACCCUCAAUCUAUCCAACUAUUUUGGAUGUCCAUCUAGUUUGAGUUUCUAUUUGCCAUAUAUAUUUAACUGUGCUGUUUUACAAAAGUUCUGAACCUAUAUACAUUUUACAUACACAGUAUAUAUUAGUUAUCUUGUUAUUAGUCCCACCCUUCAGCUCCGUUCAACCCCUCCAAUCUAUCUCUUAACACAAUCCAUAUUGGAUUUCUAUUUGCCAUAUAUUUUUCAACUGUGCUGUGAUGUUUCACAAAAGUUUUGAACAUUUCUAUUCUCAUAGUUUCUACAGAUUGAUUUUUGCUGAAGGUAUUAUUAUAUUAUUGAUUGAUUAUGACUUUUCAAAUCACCCAGUAGUGCUAUCUGCAGAGUUAGCUCCAGGUAAAUGUUGUAAUUCUUCAGCCAUUCCUGGACCUGUGACAAAAAACAAGCUACAGUACCAAAAUAAAUGAUCGAAUGACUGUCUCUUCACAGCAAAAUAUGCAGAGCUGGGAAGGUUGUAUCCCCCAUAUACUGUAUAUAACAUUAUAUUGGUUCCAAGAAUUUUGUAUAUUUCUUUAAAUAGAAAAUUCUAAGUUUUGAAUCUGGCGUUGUUUUGCCUAUCAUUUUAUAAACCAUGUGCCAUGGAAUUGGUACAUCAAAAAUCUAUUCCCAACUAUUUUGCAAUCUACACUACCGGUCAAAAGUUUUUGAACAAUUCAAGAGUUUUUCUUUAUUUUUACUAAUGGAGCUCAAAAUGUCCAUAUAUUUUUGCUAGCUGCAUGUUUGACGUACUGUAACUUCACCAGUCCUAUUUAUGAUAUAAUUUACAAAGAAUAUACCUUUUUUUUUAUAUGUUUUUUUUUAUCAAUUAGUAUAUUUUAGUUGAAUUUGUUGUAUUAUUUGUUCUGUCUUUUCUGGUGGAUUAAACUGAAAUUGCAACAAACUUUCUAUGGCUUGUUUUAAAAAUAGCGAUAUUUUUGGAGAUGAUUUCAUUUAAAAAAGAAAAAAAAAAAAAAAAAAGUGAGAUCUGAAUAAAGGGAAAAAGGCCAUUCUUGAACAUGGGGUGAGACAUUCUUACUAAUUUGCUAGAGAACCAGUUCGGAUUAAGUAUAACUUUUGUAAGACUGACGCCUUUUGUGAGAGGUCUAAUGCUUUUGUAUUUAAUAUUUUCUGCCCUCCGAAUUCAUAUUCGUUAUAUAAAUAGGCCCUUUUAAUUUUGU